GAUCGCAUAGCGCAGUAGAUUAGCGCGUCUGACUUCGGAUCAGAAAGUUGUGGGUUUGACUCCCACUGUGGUCA
rnacentral:tRNA from 1 species